rnacentral:rRNA from 1 species
UUAGAUACCCUGGUAGUCCGCACGGUAAACGAUGGAUGCCCGCUGUAUUGCGAUAUACUGUGAGCGGCCAAGAGAAAUCGUUAAGCAUCCCACCUGGGGAGUACGCCGGCAACGGUGAAACUCAAAGGAAUUGACGGGGGCCCGCACAAGCGGAGGAACAUGUGGUUUAAUUCGAUGAUACGCGAGGAACCUUACCCGGGCUUGAACUGCAGCUGAACGAUCCAGAGAUGGUGAGGCCCUUCGGGGCAGCUGUGGAGGUGCUGCAUGGUUGUCGUCAGCUCGUGCCGUGAGGUGUCGGCUUAAGUGCCAUAACGAGCGCAACCCUUUUCUUUAGUUGCCAUCAGGUGAUGCUGGGCACAAAGAAGAUACUGCCACCGUAAGGUGUGAGGAAGGUGGGGAUGACGUCAAAUCAGCACGGCCCUUACGUCCGGGGCUACACACGUGUUACAAUGGGUGGUACAGAGAGCAGGUCGUCUGCAAAUGCGAUCAAAUCCUUAAAGCCAUCCUCAGUUCAGGAAUGGGGUCUGCAACCCGACCCCAUGAAGCUGGAUUCGCUAGUAAUCGCGCAUCAGCCAUGGCGCGGUGAUUGCGUUCCCGGGCCUUGUACACACCGCCGUAAACACCAAUA